AAAGACUCAAUUUAUAGGUUUUCGUGUCUAACGUUUGACCGUCCGUCUUAUUUGAAAAUAUUAUAAAAAAAAUUAAAAAGAUAAAUCACACAUAAAAUAUUAUUCAUGAUUUAUCAUCUAAUAACAAUGAAAAUACUAAUUAUAAAAAAAUUUCAUAUAAGACGGACAGUCAAACGUUAAACACAAAAACUCAGG
rnacentral:pre_miRNA from 1 species